rnacentral:lncRNA from 1 species
GUGGUUUUGUUUUUAGUCAUUUUAGUCAUCGAGCAGUUGUUUACGAAAUUUAGACAGUCAGAAUGUAAAACUCGUGCAGAACUUUUACAAUGUAACUCAGCAGUCCUCUGAGAAAUCUAAUCCCGUCCGGAUAUGUCUGAGAUUCAUCAAUUGUUUGAUGAUCCGAUUCUCCGACCGCUCGCUCUACUUUCAUCAUGGAUAUAAACCGUAACAAUAACAUGAAAUC